GAUGAACGCUGGCGGCGUGCCUAAUACAUGCAAGUCGAGCGAACAGACGAGGAGCUUGCUCCUCUGACGUUAGCGGCGGACGGGUGAGUAACACGUGGAUAACCUACCUAUAAGACUGGGAUAACUUCGGGAAACCGGAGCUAAUACCGGAUAAUAUAUUGAACCGCAUGGUUCAAUAGUGAAAGACGGUUUUGCUGUCACUUAUAGAUGGAUCCGCGCCGCAUUAGCUAGUUGGUAAGGUAACGGCUUACCAAGGCAACGAUGCGUAGCCGACCUGAGAGGGUGAUCGCCCACACUGGAACUGCGACACGGUCCAGACUCCUACGGGAGGCAGCAGUAGGGAAUCUUCCGCAAUGGGCGAAAGCCUGACGGAGCAACGCCGCGUGAGUGAUGAAGGUCUUCGGAUCGUAAAACUCUGUUAUUAGGGAAGAACAAAUGUGUAAGUAACUAUGCACGUCUUGACGGUACCUAAUCAGAAAGCCACGGCUAACUACGUG
rnacentral:rRNA from 1 species